rnacentral:snRNA from 1 species
AGAUGUAUGUGAUGUGUAAAAUCUGUGACCCUGCUGGCCACCAGGGCAUACUCAGCUGAUCUGGUUGGGUCGGUGGGUAUCCCCUCCUGCCUCACCACUCCGUGUGUUCUCUUCUUCAUGGGAGAGGAGGAGGAAAACUUUCUCUGAUAGAAGAAGACUGCUUCCUCCUCAAGAAUAUACUAGUAGCGGCACUCCCCUGCUGGAACCUCCAAGCUAGCUCUCAAACAGGCAAAAACUCUUCACAUAACUAAAAAUGGCAGUUAUACGUGUGUAAGACCUUCUCUCUCCUAAAUUUGAUUUACAUUGUGAAUUUUU